GACGGAGGGUGCUAGCGUUGUUCGGAAUGACUGGGCGUAAAGGGCGCGUAGGCGGCCAGGCUAGUCGGGUGUGAAAGCCCGGGGCUCAACCCCGGAACGGCAUCCGAUACUGCCUGGCUGGAGACCGGGAGAGGAGGGUGGAAUACCCAGUGUAGAGGUGAAAUUCGUAGAUAUUGGGUGGAACACCGGUGGCGAAAGCGGCUCUCUGGCCCGGAUCUGACGCUGAGGCGCGAAAGCGUGGGGAGCAAACAGG
rnacentral:rRNA from 1 species